rnacentral:rRNA from 1 species
AACGAACGCUGGCGGCAUGCCUAACACAUGCAAGUCGAACGAGACCUUCGUGUCUAGUUGCGCACGGGUGCGUAACGCGUGGGAACCUGCCCUUAGGUUCGGAAUAACUCCCCUAAAGGGGUGCUAAUACCGGAUAAUCUCUUCGGACCAAAGAUUUAUCGCCUUUGGAUGGGCCCGCGUUGGUUUAGCUAGUUGGUAGGGUAAAAGCAUGCCAAGGCGACGAUCCAUAGCUGGUCUGAGAGGAUGAUCAGCCACACUGGGACUGAGACACGGCCCAGACUGCUACGGGAGGCAGCAGUGGGGAAUAUAGGAGAAUGGGCGAAAGCCUGAUCCAGCCAUGCCGCGUGAGUGAUGAAGGGCUUAGUGUUGUAAAGCUCUUUUACACGGGAUGAUAAUGACAGUACCGGGAGAAUAAGCUCCGGCUAACUCCGUG